rnacentral:rRNA from 1 species
UACAGAGGGUGCGAGCGUUAAUCGGAAUUACUGGGCGUAAAGCGUGCGUAGGUGGAUGCUUAAGUCAGAUGUGAAAGCCCCGGGCUCAACCUGGGAACUGCAUCUGAUACUGGGUUUCUAGAGUAUGGUAGAGGAUGGCGGAAUUUCCGGUGUAGCGGUGAAAUGCGUAGAUAUCGGAAGGAACACCAGUGGCGAAGGCGGCCGUCUGGGCCAAUACUGACACUGAGGCACGAAAGCGUGGGUAGCAAACAGG